GGUGCAAGGCUAUAUAGACAAGACAAGACGGUCGUCCAAUUAAUCUGUAUUUCAUCGAACUAAAGGGUGUGUGGUAGGACCUUGACAAGAGAUGUCCUAUUCAUAUGGUGUAUGGAGUGGACUAGAAAACUCGUAAAGAGGAACUUGCGAUGGGGUGUAUGAUUUCCAUGAUAGGUCAAAUAGUGGUUUCGACCAAGUUCGGAGUGAGAUUCUAAGGAUGAAAACUAUCCCCAGAAUCGAAGAAUAUUUCAAUUUGGUACGAUGUGAAUCCCAGAGGCAGGCCACUAUGAUGGGAACAAAGACUACAAUGGCAAGGCCCUCAAUGGCUAUGGCAACUAAGGCGCCUAGUUCUCAUCCACCGUAUAAUGGAAACUCUCAGUUAUUCCGUACCCAGGAAGAUAUCGACAAAGACAAACUCCAUUGCAAUCAUUGUAAUGGAACGAGACACAUUGAGAAUACCUGCUUUGAAAUUCACAGCUACCUAUAAUGGUACUGGGAGAGGAAGAAGGAGUUAAAGGCACGAAGGAACAAACGGAUGGGAUAAGCUCAAGUGGUAGCUGCUAGACCAGGAACAUCGUCAACUGCAGCAGGGGGACAAAGUGGGCCUACACGAGAAAGCUGAUGGGGGCAGAUAGGUUACUACUGUUGCAGCGAGGCAGCCUGGGCCCAAUCUGCCCAACCAAAUAACAGCAUCCCAAUAUACAAAGCAGACCUCAAAGGCAGCGUCCAAGGAUGAUGAGACCGGUCCACUUUUAUCCUUAAUCAAUCAAAUUUCAAUGGAUGAUAACUUGAGAGAUUCAGGAUAUCCAGACUUGGGCGAUAAUUGGGUAUGGUACUAAGAGAAGAAGGUUAUAUUAUGUGGAUGAUGUGUUGGUAAGUAGAGUAAAUCAAGUGCGCAGUAGUCACCCAAACAAGAAUAAGACAAUCUGGUUAUGGCAUCGUCGAUUAGGGCAUGUGUCUUUUGGUUAUUUGACAAAAUUGUUUACGUCUUUAUUUCAUGGCGUUUCAGACUCUGAUUUCCAGUGUAAUGAUUGCAUUCUUGCAAAAAGUCAUCAUACUUCUUAUCAUUUGAGUUUCAAUAAAAGAACAGUUCCUUUUUA